AGCAGCCGCGGUAAUUCCAGCUCCAAUAGCGUAUAUUAAAGUUGUUGCAGUUAAAAAGCUCGUAGUUGAAUUUUAGACUUGGCCGGGCGGUCCGUCUUUGACGAGUACUGUUCCGUUGUCGGGUCUUCCUUCUGGUGAACCAGCAUGUCCUUAAUUGGGUGUGUUGGGGAGCCAGGACCAUUACCUUGAAAAAAAUUAGAGUGUUUAAAGCGGGCUAUUGCUUGAAUAGAUUAGCAUGGAAUAAUAGAAUAGGACGUUGUGGUUCUAUUUUGUUGGUUUCUAGGACCACCGUAAUGAUUAAUAGGGAUAGUUGGGGGCAUUAGUAUUCAAUUGUCAGAGGUGAAAUUCUUGGAUUUAUUGAAGACUAACUAUUGCGAAAGCAUUUGCCAAGGAUGUUUCAUUAAUCAAGAACGAAAGUUAGGGAUCGAAGACGAUCAGAUACCGUCGUAGUCUUAACCAUAAACUAUGCCGACUAGGAAUCGGGCGACGUUAUUUCACGUACUCGCUCGGCGCCGUUAC
rnacentral:rRNA from 1 species